CCUUCAUUUCUGCCUAUCAACUUUCGAUGGUAGGAUAGUGGCUACCAUGGUUUCAACGGGUAACGGGGAAUUAGGGUUCUAUUCCGGAGAGGGAGCCUGAGAAACGGCUACCACAUCCAAGGAAGGCAGCAGGCGCGCAAAUUACCCAAUCCCGACACGGGGAGGUAGUGACAAUAAAUACUGAUACAGGGCUCUUUUGAGUCUUGUAAUUGGAAUGAGUACAAUUUAAAUCCCUUAACGAGGAACAAUUGGAGGGCAAGUCUGGUGCCAGCAGCCGCGGUAAUUCCAGCUCCAAUAGCGUAUAUUAAAGUUGUUGCAGUUAAAAAGCUCGUAGUUGAACCUUGGGCCUGGCUGGCCGGUCCGCCUCACCGCGUGCACUGGUCCGGCCGGGCCUUUCCUCCUGGGGAGCCGCAUGCCCUUCACUGGGUGUGUCGGGGAACCAGGACUUUUACUUUGAAAAAAUUAGAAGUGUUCAAAGCAGGCCUAUGCUCGAAUACAUUAGCAUGGAAUAAUAGAAUAGGACGUGUGGUUCUAUUUUGUUGGUUUCUAGGACCGCCGUAAUGAUUAAUAGGGAUAGUCGGGGGCAUCAGUAUUCAAUUGCAGAGGUGAAAUUCUUGGAUUUAUUGAAGACUAACUACUGCGAAAGCAUUUGCCAAGGAUGUUUUCAUUAAUCAGUGAACGAAAGUUAGGGGAUCGAAGACGAUCAGAUACCGUCGUAAUCUUAACCAUAAACUAUGCCGACUAGGGAUCGGGCGAUGUUAUCUUUUGCUCGCUCGGCACCUUCGAGAAAUCAAAGUUUUGGGUU
rnacentral:rRNA from 1 species